UACGUAGGGCGCAAGCGUUGUCCGGAAUUAUUGGGCGUAAAGAGCUCGUAGGCGGCUUGUCACGUCGGAUGUGAAAGCCCGAGGCUUAACCUCGGGUCUGCAUUCGAUACGGGCUAGCUAGAGUGUGGUAGGGGAGAUCGGAAUUCCUGGUGUAGCGGUGAAAUGCGCAGAUAUCAGGAGGAACACCGGUGGCGAAGGCGGCUAUCUGGACAGAGUCUGACGCUGAGGCGCGAAAGCUAGGGGAGCAAACAGG
rnacentral:rRNA from 1 species